rnacentral:rRNA from 1 species
UACAGAGGUCCCGAGCGUUGUUCGGAUUCACUGGGCGUAAAGGGUGCGCAGGUGGGUUGGCAAGUUUGAUGUGAAAGCCCCGGGCUUAACCCGGGAAUGGCAUUGAAUACUGUUGAUCUGGAGGAUCGGAGGGGGGACUGGAAUUCUUGGUGUAGCAGUGAAAUGCGUAGAUAUCAAGAGGAACACCAGUGGCGAAGGCGAGUCCCUGGACGAUACCUGACACUGAAGGCGAACGAAAGCCGGGGGAGCAAACAGG